GACGAACGCUGGCGGCGUGCUUAACACAUGCAAGUCGAACGGAAAGGCCCUGCUUUUGUGGGGUGCUCGAAUGGCGAACGGGUGAGUAACGCGUGAGUAACCUGCCCUUGACUUUGGGAUAACUUCAGGAAACUGGGGCUAAUACCGGAUAGGAGCUCCUGCUGCAUGGGGGGGGUUGGAAAGUUUCGGCGGUUGGGGAUGGACUGGGGGCUUAUCAGCUUGUGGGUGGGGUAGUGGCUUACCAAGGCUUUGACGGGUAGCCGGCCUGAGGGGGUGACCGGCCACAUUGGGACUGAGAUACGGCCCAGACUCCUGCGGGAGUGAGCAGUGGGGAAUAUUGCACAAUGGGCGGAAGCCUGAUGCAGCAACGCCGCGUGCGGGAUGACGGCCUUCGGGUUGUAAACCGCUUUCGCCUGUGACGAAGCGUGAGUGACGGUAAUGGGUAAAGAAGCACCGGCUAACUACGUG
rnacentral:rRNA from 1 species